UUUUUUUUUUUUUUUUUUUUUUUGGCCACACCCAUGGCACACGGAAGUUCCUCGGGGCCAGGGAUCAAAUCCAAGCCGCAACUGCGACCUACGCCACAGCUGCAGCAAUGCCAGACCCUUAACCCAAGCACCAAAGGGGAAACUCCUACCCAAGUUCUCCUUUGUCAACUGAAAGAAAGCUGAGGGCCAGGCAUGGUGCCCAAAGAUGGCCUGACACUGCGUGCUCACAAGCACGCACGCUAAUUGCUCUGAAUGCAUUUAGGAAUGCCAGGUGGCAAGAACAGUGGCUCCCCCUCACUAAACAGCCAAGAGCCAUGUAAUGCUCAAAGUGCCACUAAGCAAUCCUCUGGAUAGAAGCUUCCUUCUUGGUGAUUACCCUCCUACGCCAGCGAGGAUCCCCAGAGCCGAAGACUAGGAAUAGCUUAUACAGGAUACCAUCUGUCUUAAAAAAAAUAAAAAAAUAAAUUUAAAAAAGGGUUGUCUCUGAGUAUAAUAAAAAGUAUAAUCUAUAAGGAUCUUGAGAUGGGGUGGCAUAGGCCCCUAAAGCUUUCCCCACAGGUGGGUGCCCAGAACCGGAGGGGCUCCAUCUAGCUUUAGAAAAGGGUCUGGAGUUCCUGUCGUGGCGCAUCUUGUUAGAAGUUUUUUCCAGUGAUUUUUUUCCCCAAUGGAUGAAAUUUCAGAUUUAUCAGUUCUCUUUUUGUCUAUUUUCUAUUGCAUUUAUUUCCUUUAUCUUUAUCAUUUCCUUUCUUUUUUUACUGAGUUUUAAUUUAUUCUUUAUUCUAGUUUCAUAAGGUAGAAGCUUAAAUCAUUGAUUUUCAAAACUUUCCUCUUUUUCUAAUGUAGGCACUAGUUACAAUUUUCCUUUCAAGCAUUUCUUUAGCUAUACCCCACAUAUUUUGAAAUCUGUAGCUAUAUAUCUACUAAAUAUAAUUAUCAUUUCCUAAUUUCUGCAAUAUUUUCUAAUUUGAUUCAUAGGUUAUUUGGAAAUGUGUUAAGUUACAAAUAUUAGUGGAUUUUACAGAUUAUUUAAAUUUAUUGAUUUCUAAUGUAAUUUCAGUGUGGUCUGAUCAGAGAAUAUUCUCUGUAUGAUAUGAACAUUUUUAAACUUAUUGAGGAAUUAUGUUACAGUACAAUGGGUUAAGGAUCCAGCAUUGUCACAGCAGCACCUUGGGUCACUACUGUGGCAUGGGUUUGAUCCCUGGCUGGGGAAAUUCCACAUGGGUACAGCCAAAAAUAAACAAACUUAUUGGAACAUGUUAUAUGGCCUCGUAUGUGCUCUUCUGUGAAUGCCAAGAUAAAUAUUUUAUAUGUACUUGAAAACAAUGUGUAUUUUGCAGUUGCCAUGUGGAGUGUUCUACAAAUACCAAUUAGGUUCCAUAAAUUGAUAGUGCUGUUCAAGUCCUUUAUACCUGGACUGCUUUUCUGUUUGUUUUGUAAAUUACUGAGAAAGGAGUGUUGAAGUCUCCAAAUAUAUGUUUGUAUCUGUGUAUUUCUCCUUUCAGUCCUAUCCGUGUUUUCAUUCUGUAUUGGGGAGCUUUUGUUGGAAAUACAUUGAAUGCUGUAUAUCUUCUUGAUGAG
rnacentral:lncRNA from 1 species